GAUGAAGAACGUAGCGAAAUGCGAUAAGUAAUGUGAAUUGCAGAAUUCAGUGAAUCAUCGAAUCUUUGAACGCACCUUGCGCCCUUUGGCUAUUCCGAAGGGCAUGCCUGUUUGAGUAUCAUGAACACCUCAACUCUCAUGGGUUUGCCAUGAUGAGCUUGGACUUUGGGGGUCUUGCUGGCCUAUGGUCAGCUCCUCUCAAAUGGAUCAGCUUGCCAGUGUUUGGUGGCACCACAGGUGUGAUAACUAUCUACGCUUGUGGCUUUCCACCAGGUAACCUUCAGCAGUGGAGGUUCGCUGGAGCUCAUAGAUGUCUCUCCUCGGUGAGGACAGCCCUUUGAACGUUUGAUCUCAAAUCAGGUAGGACUACCCGCUGAACUUAAGCAUAUCAAUAAGCGGAGGA
rnacentral:misc_RNA from 1 species